AUCGAUAAUCCACGCUAACUUUCACUUAAAUUUAAAAUUUGCAUACCUCCAUCUUAAGAAUCAAUUUAAAAAUAUUUUCUCAAAAACUAAUAAAAAGUUAGGUCAAGGUACAAUCAACAUUAAAGAUCAGAUGAAUUACAUUAAACAAUAUUUAUAGACUAAAAAUAAAAUAUUUUUACAAAUUAGAAUUUAAAAGUAAUAUUAAAUUAAUAAUUCAAUAUGACAAGGAUAAUAAAUGUGCACACAUCGCCC
rnacentral:rRNA from 1 species